rnacentral:misc_RNA from 1 species
ACUUCACGUAGCUUCAAAAUUUUCCGCGUAUAUAAAUAGUGAAACAUAGUGUGCAAAAUAUUCUUAAUUAAUACAACAAUAAGAAACGCAUUAGUUACGCGCAGUGCAUUGCCAAGUUACCUGUCACCGGAUCUAAUCAAAGCUCGCUUUAUCAGCGCAGCUCUCUCGUGUCACAUGCGGCCGCACAUUCGCCCCACGAAAUCUAACUGUAAAUGCGAAAUGGUAUAAGGCACAAAAUGGUUUAAAGAAAAAGAAUUAUAUGUUCAAUUAUGCAAAUUAGAUGCUGUUGCUCUGCCUAUAUGUCGUAUUACAUAUAUAUGUGUGUGUGGACAGGAUUGCAGCCAGGACUGCUAGACUGCUGCUGCAAGAAAUAAUUCAUUCUAUAUGCGAAGAACGACGAAUCCAUCUCUGAAUGGAGUUAUCUUUUGCAUUGACUGCACCAGCGCUACAUUAGGCUGUUUGCUCUGUUACCAGGCGAUUUUUGGACAAAUUUGCCCUUUUGCCGCGGCUCAGUUGGCUUUCACUCGUCUCCUUAGCGUGGCCAAAGAAUCUACUAACAAUGGCCAACUCCCGUCGUUAAUGAGGCCACGGGCUCUGAGCUACUUUGCACUCAAUACAAAAGCGCUAUAUUAAGCCGUUCGCUCUGUUACCAGUUAACUUAAGCGUGGAUGGGGUUGAUGUUCUAACUGCGGAUGUAUUGCUCUCCUUCCCGUGAUUCCGCAGCCUGCAGCCUGCUUGCGCAUCUUCGCCCCCUUGCCCUGGUCAAAGGACUCGCUGAGAAGGCCAACUCCCACUCACGGUGAGGCCACGGGCUCCGAACUACUUUAAAAGCACCUCAUCAGCUUGUUCGCUGUUUUACCAGGCGAACAACACCGCCAACUUGGCGAGAUGGUUUUGGUAUUUUAACUGCGCAUGUAUUGCACUCCGCCGACAAUGGCCAGCUCCCAAUAACCCUCAAUGCAGAUCGAUUCAGUUGCUCCUAACAAGCCCAUUGCAUUGAGAAUUUUCAAAACCCAUAAGGAUAUGAUAGAGCUAUGCUUAUUUUUAUAAAAGGACAAUCUCUAAAUUUCAAGGACUAUCGUGAUUUCCUUUGGCGAAUCCAUAAUCCUCAUCCGUGCAUAUAAAUUGAAGGAUUUAAGGACUCUAAUCAAUUCUAAGGAUUUCUACGAAUCCAACAAGGCUACUCCUGCCAGAAUCGGGCUUAUAUUAAGCUAGAUAUAGUCAUUUUAACAUAAAAUCGA